UAGCAUAAACAAGAAGGGAACGGUGAUGAUAGAAAAGUUCAAGACCAGACGGAUAUGGAGGUCUAUCAAGCUGCUGUUUGUUGCUGCUGCUACUCCAUCCAAGGCUGGACCUUUCUAUAGGAAAAGGAAACUGUGAAAUACGGGUCACAAUUGAUAACAGGUGCAAAGAAGUUCGAUUAGACAAUAAGUUACAAAUAUAGGAAAUAGAGGUUUACUUGCAACAACUCGACUAUAUGCGUGAGCAGUCAGUUCUUGUGCUGGAAGCAUUGAAAUCCAAGACAAACUAAGUAAAUAGGUAAACAUGUUGAAGACAUAUUGUUGAUGGUUUCGAUUUGGUUAUGAAUUUCUAGAUUAUUUUGUUGUCAACUAAGUGUUUUGCAGUCAUGUUCCAGCAAAAAUUGGAUGAUAUAGGGAUUAAGUGUAGGUUGUUUUAAACUCUAUCUUUCUUAUGUUUAUUAUCCCUUAGAAUUUGAAUGUUAAUGAAUGAAUAAGUGUGGCUCUUAGGUGAUUGGUUUGUAUUGACAGGUUAGUUAGUAUAGAAUUAGGUUAUAGUUUAGUAUACAAUUGAUAGCAGGUGACUAUGAAGAUUUCUGUUUUUCUUGAAUCCUUGCAGUGGGGAAAUGCUGAGUAUCCCAAGAGCCAUUGGAAAACUUGAGGGCUUCUUCUGUAAAUUAGAGCUUCAAGAAGCUGUGUGCAUAUUAUUUAACUUUGUAUAAUGUGGUGGUUGGUCUGUUUUCAAUCUGAUUGCUUGCAAUGAUGAUUCCUAAUUAUAUAGUCAUGCAUUUGCUUGCUGAGUCUAUUUCAGGUUAUUAUGUUAGAUACAGUCGGUGCAGAAUUGCUACCCAUCAACUUCCCUGGAUUGGAUUGGCAAAGGUUGAGGAGGAACAUUGUGUUCUGGAGUGAUGUAGGGGUUAAUCAGCAUUGGUUGUGUUUUUACAGACAAUGAAGAAGGGAGAGGAGACACCAUCUUUGUUGGUCAGUACUUAUUUACAGGCAGUUAAUCUACUUCUGUUUGGCUAGAGGUAGUUUCUCUAUCCCUUGAUCAUAUCCAUGUCUAGAAAUAUUAGUUUUUUUUUUGUGUGUACUGUAUAUUGUUUUCUAUAAAAGAGUUGAUUUCUUUAUCAUGAAACUAGAGCUGAGGUUUUAUCUGAGUUGAUGAGCUGGUAGGAUGAUAAUUCCGUGGUUAUUUAUUCGUCUGAUUAAGUGAAAGGGGAGGAUGUGGUCUGUGUGAUAAAGAACACUGCAACUUUAACUGGGUCACUGUUCACCUUACAUGCCUCACAAGUUCACAUCGAUCUGCCUACACUCUCUGAUAGGGAUAAAGAGGUGAAAAUGAUUUGGAUAGACAAAAUGACUCCAUUUUAUAGAUGUAUUUGUUGAUCACCUACAAAUUGAAUGGUGUGGGUAAGCUACAACUUCUUCUUGCUCAUUGAUUUCCUUCUAUUCUAGUGUUUUCCUCUAACCCCUUUUGUUUCUCAUUAAACUUCAAUGUCGACGCAGUUUGUAGUUUCUCAUUAAACUUCAACAUUGACGCAGUUUGUAGAUUUAUGAACUUGAGAUAGGAAUCUUGUUAUCAAACCUAAUAAUCGUGGAUAGUUAUUAAACUUUUUGUACAUAUAUAUAUUUUUCUAAUGGAAUAGUUACUAGCAUAUAGCAUGGACUUGUUUGGUUAUGAGUUAGAAUCACUUUUGAUUGACUAACAGCUAGUUUUUAUUGACAUAAAAGAGGCUUGUAAUUGAUCAUACACUCGACAUGUAGAGGAUGUUCUUGAAGCUCGUGAUUUCCUAGCAAAGCUAGGUGAUCUUUCUCAAACUCAAAUAUUUGCAAAAAUUGAGAAUGUUGAGGGCUUAACCCAUUUUGAUGAGAUCCUACAAGAGGUGGAUGGAAUUAUUCUUUCUCCUGGCAAUCUUGGAGUUGAGCUCCCACCUGAAAUGGGAAAAGGUUUAAAGUUCACAUAGGCUUUGUGUUCCUAGAUAAGCAAAGACUCUUUUCAUCUGCCUAUGAACCAUGCUUAGCAUCAUUUUGUCUCACAUGAUUCUUAUACAGAAACUUGGGUUUUGUAAAGGAAUGAUUCUUAGAUUUUAUUAAUAUACUCUUAAGCCUUCUUCAAGAAGCUGCUUGGAAUUCUUAAUACU